rnacentral:miRNA from 1 species
CCGCAGCCUGGAGCAGACACUUG